rnacentral:rRNA from 1 species
AUUGAACGCUGGCGGCAUGCCUUACACAUGCAAGUCGAACGGCAGCACGGGUGCUUGCACCUGGUGGCGAGUGGCGAACGGGUGAGUAAUACAUCGGAACAUGUCCUGUAGUGGGGGAUAGCCCGGCGAAAGCCGGAUUAAUACCGCAUACGAUCUACGGAUGAAAGCGGGGGACCUUCGGGCCUCGCGCUGUAGGGUUGGCCGAUGGCUGAUUAGCUAGUUGGUGGGGUAAAGGCCUACCAAGGCGACGAUCAGUAGCUGGUCUGAGAGGACGACCAGCCACACUGGGACUGAGACACGGCCCAGACUCCUACGGGAGGCAGCAGUGGGGAAUUUUGGACAAUGGGCGAAAGCCUGAUCCAGCAAUGCCGCGUGUGUGAAGAAGGCCUUCGGGUUGUAAAGCACUUUUGUCCGGAAAGAAAUCCUUGGCCCUAAUACGGUCGGGGGAUGACGGUACCGGAAGAAUAAGCACCGGCUAACUACGUG